rnacentral:tRNA from 1 species
GAGGUGUUAACUUAAAGUUAAAGUGUCAAAUUUUUAAUUUGAAUAUGUAUUAUACACACCUUAA